rnacentral:rRNA from 1 species
UUGAUCCUGGCUCAGGACGAACGCUGGCGGCGUGCUUAACACAUGCAAGUGAACGAUGAACCACUUCGGUGGGGAUUAGUGGCGAACGGGUGAGUAACACGUGGGCAAUCUGCCCUGCACUCUGGGACAAGCCCUGGAAACGGGGUCUAAUACCGGAUAUUGACCUUCACGGGCAUCUGUGAGGUUCGAAAGCUCCGGCGGUGCAGGAUGAGCCCGCGGCCUAUCAGCUUGUUGGUGAGGUAAUGGCUCACCAAGGCGACGACGGGUAGCCGGCCUGAGAGGGCGACCGGCCACACUGGGACUGAGACACGGCCCAGACUCCUACGGGAGGCAGCAGUGGGGAAUAUUGCACAAUGGGCGAAAGCCUGAUGCAGCGACGCCGCGUGAGGGAUGACGGCCUUCGGGUUGUAAACCUCUUUCAGCAGGGAAGAAGCGAAAGUGACGGUACCUGCAGAAGAAGCGCCGGCUAACUACGUGCCAGCAGCCGCGGUAAUACGUAGGGCGCAAGCGUUGUCCGGAAUUAUUGGGCGUAAAGAGCUCGUAGGCGGCUUGUCACGUCGGUUGUGAAAGCCCGGGGCUUAACCCCGGGUCCAGUGAACGGGCAGGCUAGAGUUCGGUAGGGGAGAUCGGUGUAAGCAGAUAUCAGGAGGAACACCGAAGGCGGUGCCGAACGGAAG